AUGCUGAAACUAAACAGGACCUUUUCAACUGAAUUUCCUAGACAUUGGUUUCCAAAUUGGUUGCUAAUAAAGAGGUCUUUGGGACUAGAUCCCACCGCACACCUGCUGGAGCAAAUGCCCCGGUGGGCUGUGGUACGACGUGGAGGGGCUAAGACUCUGCGCUGUCUCCUGAAGAAUUCCCAGUACCCUUGGAUGAGCUGGUUCCAGCAAGAUAUCCAGCGGCAGCUGAAGUUUUUGUUUAUGUUAAGGAGUCCUGGGGAGAAGGAGGUCAUCUCCCUCCCUGGAGCGGACUACCUGGCCACACGGGUCAAUGACGUGGAAUUAAGAUUGCAAGUGGCUAAUGUGACCCAGGACAGAAGCCUGUACUGCACCUGCAGCCAGGACACAGUGAGAAGCCCUGCUGGAGCAUUUGAAUAA